rnacentral:rRNA from 1 species
AGUGAACGCUGGCGGUAGGCCUAACACAUGCAAGACGAGCGGAUGCACGGUACUAGCUCCUGCUUUCGGCGGCGGACGGGCGGGCAAUGCCUGGGAACCUGCGAGGCUACGGUUUAUAAGGGCCGGAAGUGGGCGCAAAUACCCCAAUAGCCCUGACGGCGAAAGGGGGGGAUCUUCGGAUCUCCCGCUCUUAGACGAGCCGAGGUCGGAUUAGCUAGUUGGCGGGGUAAAGGCCUACCAAGGCGACGAUCCGUAGCUGGUCUGAGAGGAUGAUCAGCCACACUGGAACUGAGACACGGUCCAGACUCCUACGGGAGGCAGCAGUGGGGAAUAUUGGACAAUGGGCGCAAGCCUGAUCCAGCCAUACCGCGUGUGUGAAGAAGGCCUUCGGGUUGUAAAGCACUUUUGUUGGGAAAGAAAAGCAGCAGGUUAAUACCCCGCUGUUCUGACGGUACCCAAAGAAUAAGCACCGGCUAACUUCGUG